ensembl:lncRNA
UAAUGAAGAAUAUAUCUAAGUAUUUAUUUGACAAGCUGGAAUUAAUCAACACAAGACAUUUAAAAGAUGGAACUUAUAUUGUUAUUAUUGGGAGACACACCUGAAUUAUAUCAAGCCAAAUCCAAAUCAUGUAAUGAUUUAUCAGCCAUUUAAGUAUUUUAAACUCUACUAAAUAAACAUAAGCAUGUAAGCAUGCAUGCUGCAUGUACAUAUAUUCUGUCUUGACUGAAGAAAAGACUAAUAUUACAUAUAUGCAUACUUAUUAGUCCAAAAUGAAAGAAAUUAAGCCAUUUACUCAUUGAUGCUAUAGCAUAGCUGCAUACAAAAAUAUCAAAGCCUACUAGCAUGAGACAUGCACCUGCACUGUGACUAACUGUUUGGAUCUAAUCCUGGCUCAUAUACUAGUCUUGGAUAAUAGGUCAUUAUACCGUUAUGUCCUAUGCCACUUAAAAACAUGAAUUUAAAGAUCAAAUAUCUAAGCAGUUAUAAACUAUAUGUCGCUGUGACUGAAAAAAGACUAUGUUUAAAGAGUCAAACAGUCUUGGUGUCUUCUGAGACAGGGAAUCUCUUGAAGGUCCGUUGUUUCACUGAAAAAAGACACAAACAUGAAUGAAUUAUGUAGCAUUAUUUACUGUUCCCUUCGAACAUUAUUAGCAUCGUAUUUGUGUAUGAAAACAACAAGUGCACAAUAACUUAAAUCUAAGGCAAUGAGUCACUCGUAUGUGAUUAAAUUACUAAUGGGUCAUCCUGCAGGCCUCAUGUUUUAUAAAGUAGACUCUCGUGUGCUUGUGUAUCAAAUACACACAACAAAAUAUAUUUGAAACAAUGACACUUCUGAUCACUGUGGCUCACGUACUGCAGUAACCUACCUUUCUGUAUUUUCAACAGAGUCAUCAUCAUCAUCACCACCAUCCCAGAAAUCAUGAGGAUAAGCAGACAGCCCAGAGUUCCUGCGAAUGCCUGGUAGGACAGAGACACUUCUGGUCCAGGGAAACCUGUGAAUGGAGAGUGUUGUACACAUUAAUAUGACUCAGUCUGUCUUUAGACUGAUGGUAAUGGGGCUUCUGCAGAGCGCUAUACUCACCAUGACUCUCAAUAUGCUUACUGAAGAUGAACACAUCGCUAAGGAGAGUCUUGCCGUCUAGUUUCUGAACACAUGAGAAGGAAGCGGGUGAAGACACCGUGAUCUUGAAGAGGUGUUCUGUUCCUCUGCUGAAGUCGGGGUAGUUCAUUGUGAAGCUUUGCUCUUCCACCACCACCUUCAGCUGCAGUUGGCUUCCAUGAACGGGAACGUGACAUUGACAGGAAACUAUGACGGCGUCCUCAUAGUUGCUCACCAAUCUGUACACUCUAAUCAGUGGGUUUGGGAGAUCUGAAAUUCAAAACACAGCCCAUCAUAUGACCAGCAUGUUUUCAUAAAAAAAAUAAUGGGAUCAAUAACAUUUUUGUCCAGUCUGGUCACAACUUUCUUGGCUGAAUAAAAUGUAUAUAAAGAAUGUAGACAAACGUCAACCUACUGGGUUGCAUCCAGUACCAUGCUGGAGCUAAAUACUUUAAACAUAUUUAAACAGCCAACUGUGUACAAAUGUGAGGUGCAGGAUGUUGUCAAGUCAUAUCCUAGAGUUGAGAAUAGUCAGUGUAGUUUGGGAGUUGAGAUAAAGAAUAGUAAAAAUUCAGAAAACGCUUUGGAUUAAAAUCCCUUUGUAUACUAUGUAAUAUAAGUAUAAUAGAUUAUGGUCAAUAGAUUUCAGCAAUGUUGUUUGUAAAAUAAGUGUUAGAGGUGUAUUCUUGGAUAUGGAGAGACAUGGACAAAACCCUGCUGUAAUUUGCUGAAAGAUCUCACAAAUGUUUGGCCAUACUGACUAUAUGAAGAGUCUGUAUGAAGUAUGUUGAUCAACAUAUACUUACUGGGUCUCAUCCUGGGCCACCGUGGAUCUGAAAUAUAGAGAGAAAUAACUCAUCUGGAACCGUCGUGGAGUGAAUGUUUUAAAUAUUUUAUAUAUUAUAACAUUUUAAAAAUGAAUUGUGUAGAAAUGUGAGAUGAAGGCCAUGUGAGAGUCACAUACUUUGGGUUGCCCAAUCAUAUCCUGAAGCUGAAAUAAAGAACAAUCAAAAUUCACAAAACACUUUGAAUUAAAAUAUCAAGUGAUAUCCAUUCAAUACAGUGUUCUAGAUUAUCAAGAACAAUUGUACCAUCAAAAAAUAGCUCAAAAAAUGAAAAGACACUUAAAAUAUAUGAAU